GUGGGGAAUUUUGGACAAUGGGCGCAAGCCUGAUCCAGCAAUGCCGCGUGCAGGAAGAAGGCCUUCGGGUUGUAAACUGCUUUUGUACGGAACGAAACGGUCCGGGUUAAUACCCUGGGCUAAUGACGGUACCGUAAGAAUAAGCACCGGCUAACUACGUGCCAGCAGCCGCGGUAAUACGUAGGGUGCAAGCGUUAAUCGGAAUUACUGGGCGUAAAGCGUGCGCAGGCGGUUUUGUAAGACAGGCGUGAAAUCCCCGGGCUCAACCUGGGAAUUGCGCUUGUGACUGCAAGGCUGGAGUGCGGCAGAGGGGGAUGGAAUUCCGCGUGUAGCAGUGAAAUGCGUAGAUAUGCGGAGGAACACCGAUGGCGAAGGCAAUCCCCUGGACCUGUACUGACGCUCAUGCACGAAAGCGUGGGGAGCAAACAGGAUUAGAUACCCCAGUAGUCC
rnacentral:rRNA from 1 species